ACAGGCUAGAUCAAAGACAAAGUGGAUGUUGAACGAUCAUCAAAGUGAUCAAUUAGAACUUCUACAUCAAUAUCAUAAAAAAAAAAUAUAUAUUAUCUGUGAGGGCUGAGUAAUAACUGGACAAAAACAACCUGUCUUUAAGAGAUCAGGUGCCCAAUGAAAAAUGAAUAAGAUUCUUUUUUUGCAGCUCAGCGGGACGGUCUUUUCUCUCACAUUUGACUGAUAAAAAAAUGUAUAACCAAAAGGCUUUGCUUCACACUUAAGAAAGUUAAGUUCAACUGCUCCAAAGGCAUGAAGUCUAUUUUAUACAGACUGCAUAAACAAAAUAAAUUAUGCUGAACAACUUUUUCUAUGCUUUAAGAAUGAUCUCCCACCUUGUUUUGGGGUCUGCCUGAAGCACUCCAAAAUUUCGACCUUUUGAGUCCAUGGUGAUAGUGACAGCUCUGUGGACAUAUGGGAGUUUCUCCAAGCGGAUUCUCUCAUACAGUGUCACCGCAUCUGAAUGGCCACAAACCUCCACACUGACUUCUGGAUGAAUACAACCCACAAGCCACUGAAACCCUCCCCGUCCUGAGUCACAAACAUCAUGCUGUUCUUGCUGAGAGCUAUGUCCGACAUGAAAACCUGACGUCCGUACGCCCACCGGCACUGUCUCACCGAGCUGCCGGAAGAACGCCAGCAG